rnacentral:rRNA from 1 species
AGUGAACGCUGGCGGUGGGCCUAACACAUGCAAGUCGAACGGCAGCACAGUAAGAUCUUGCUCUUACGCGUGGCGAGUGACGGACGGGUGAGGGAUACAUCGGAAUCUACUUUUUCUUGGGGGAGAACGUAGGUAAACUUACGCUAAUACCGCAUACGACCUACGUGUGAAAUCAGUGGAUCUUCGUACCUUGCGCGAUUGAAUGAGCCGAUGUCGGAUUAGCUAGUUGGCGGGGUAAAGGCCGACCAAGGCGACGAUCCGUAGCUGGUCUGAGAGGAUGAUCAGCCAAACGGGAACUGAGACACGGUCAAGCCUCCUACGGGAGGAAGCAGUGGGGAAUAUUGGACAAUGGGGGAAGGCUUGCUCCAGACCUCCGCCGUGGGUGAAGAAGGCCUUGGGGUUGUAAAGCCCUUUUGUAGGGAAAGACAAGCAGCAGGUUAGAACGCUGAUGUUCUGACGGUACCCAACGAAUAAGCAACGGCUAACUUCGUG